rnacentral:lncRNA from 1 species
UUUUUUUUUUCCCAAAUGUUCGGGGCGUUGUUUGGUUCUUUCCUUCCAGGUGUUAUUGACUGUCCAUGUCGGGGGUUGGUUGGUUCUUUCCUCAGGUGUUAUUGACUCAUGUCGGGGCGUUUGGUUCUUUCCUCAGGUGUUAUUGACUGUCAUGUCGGUGUGUUUUGGUUCUUUCCUCAGGUGUUAUUGACUGUCAUGUGGGGAGUUUGGUUCUUUCCUCAGGUUUUAUUGACUGUAUGUCGGGGCGUUGUUUGCGUUUCUUGUUUAUGUACCGUUUCUUUAUUAAACACUCCCUGUAGUUGCAUCCCGACUCUCAGAGUUCAUGUUUACACGCGCCCUCUCAGCUGGUGUGGGACCUCACAACCAAGCUGCAACCCGCACUGCUCAAAAGAAACAAUUACAAUA